AUAUGGUUUCAAAUCUAAAUAUGAUAAUAGAGAAACCGAAUGAACGGUGCCGCACUUCAUGUCACGUAUUCAUUGGGCCGCCGGUUCUCCGUGGAGAUGCCCACGUAUUACGUAUAUCACCACGCGACUCCCCCUCUACAGGAUACCACAUAACCCUAACCCACUUCAGAGAAUAGAGAGAACUGGAAGAGAGAGAGAGAGAGAGGUUGCGAGAUAGAGGGAGAUCCGAUGAAUCAACGUUAGGGUUCUGAUGUUUAAGAACACGGUUGAGGAGAUCACGAUUGCGGUGAUUGGCCGAAAAACUAGGGUUUGUACCGGUUGCCACACGGUUGCGAGAUUGAGUGUCGCUUUCGGCGGUGGCGCUGUAUGUGUUGGUACCUCCGCUGCACCGGCGGCUUCGGUUGUCAAUGGUGGUGUGGUGCUCUGAAUUUUACAGGCAACAGAUUAAUGUCUCUUGGGUUUCACACAGAAUACAUGUCUUCCAUUGCUGGUUCUUAUGGGUAUAUUGCACCAGAUUGACCAACAAGGCAUCUUUUAUGUUAAAUGAAUAGUAGUUUUCAGAUGUGGUUUGCUCCUAUUGAUUGAUUUGGGCCGUCAUCCACACGUGUCUAUUUUACCCCUACUGGACUCUAUAUGCAAACCAAACAGGUGGCUAGAGAAAACCCCAGCUGGCGAGUCUCCGGCAACUGGUCCGCGAUAAAGAGAGAGAAAUACACGGUAGUUGUGGCUCUGCCGGACACGCUUGGAUACGGCAACUGCCGAUGGUGGUUCGAAAUCUUGGUGAAGUCGGCGUAGAGGUGGGCUCAUACUCCAGCAGCGGCUCACUUGAAUACGCCAACGCAAGAGGCGGUUUGAAGUUCUGGUAGCAAUUCAAAACUCCAAUAUGUACCAAUAUCACCACUUUUACAAUCUCAAGAUUCAUUAGUUUGGCCCCAAAUUUCAAGAAACAGAGAUAUUUAGGUGCUGUCAAUCUUAAUUUUUAAAGUUUAGUUACAAGAUUUUAUUAUAAACUGCCCCCAUGCUUUUAUCUUCUUUUUUAUGUAAUAAUAUUAUUAUUCUAGAUCCCUGUUGAAUUACCCAGUUGUUAUUUUUACCGAUUUGUUAAAAU